UACGGGGGGGGGUAAGCGUUGUUCGGAAUUACUGGGCGUAAAGGGCUCGUAGGCGGCCAACUAAGUCAGACGUGAAAUCCCUCAGCUUAACUGGGGAACUGCGUCUGAUACUGGAUGGCUUGGAUUUGGGAGAGGAAUGCGGAAUUCCAGGUGUAGCGGUGAAAUGCGUAGAUAUCUGGAGGAACACCGGUGGCGAAGGCGGCAUUCUGGACCAAUAUUGACGCUGAGGAGCGAAGGCCAGGGGAGCAAACGGG
rnacentral:rRNA from 1 species